rnacentral:rRNA from 1 species
CAUGAACGCUGGCGGCGUGCCUAAUACAUGCAAGUCGAGCGAACAGAUAAGGAGCUUGCUCCUUUGACGUUAGCGGCGGACGGGUGAGUAACACGUGGGUAACCUACCUAUAAGACUGGAAUAACUCCGGGAAACCGGGGCUAAUGCAGGAUAACAUGUUGAACCGCAUGGUUCUACAGUGAAAGGCGGCUUUGCUGUCACUUAUAGAUGGACCCGCGCCGUAUUAGCUAGUUGGUGAGGUAACGGCUCACCAAGGCAACGAUACGUAGCCGACCUGAGAGGGUGAUCGGCCACACUGGAACUGAGACACGGUCCAGACUCCUACGGGAGGCAGCAGUAGGGAAUCUUCCGCAAUGGGCGAAAGCCUGACGGAGCAACGCCGCGUGAGUGAUGAAGGUCUUCGGAUCGUAAAACUCUGUUAUUAGGGAAGAACAAAUGCGUAAGUAACUGUGCGCGUCUUGACGGUACCUAAUCAGAAAGCCACGGCUAACUACGUG